ensembl:snoRNA
CCCCUUUUAAAAGCCCUCCCUGGGCCUUUUACUCAUGACCCACUGAGCCAUCAAGAAAGGAAAGAGUAAAGACACCACUUUGGGGUGAAGCAGCUGCAUAUCAUGUUGUUUGCUUCAAUCCAAUGUGUGACAAGU